rnacentral:rRNA from 1 species
UACGUAGGUGGCGAGCGUUGUCCGGAUUUAUUGGGCGUAAAGCGCGCGCAGGCGGCGGUGCUGGCCCGGCGUGAAAGCCCCCGGCUCAACCGGGGAGGGUCGUCGGGGACCGCACGGCUUGAGGGCGGUAGGGGCUGGUGGAAUGCCUGGUGUAGUGGUGAAAUGCGUAGAGAUCAGGCGGAACACCCGUGGCGAAGGCGGCCAGCUGGGCCGUCCCUGACGCUGAGGCGCGAAGGCGUGGGGAGCGAACGGG